CAUUUCCAGGGGGUGACCAAGAUUCUCGGACGAACCGGCUCCCAGGGCCAGUGUACCCAGGUCCGAGUAGAAUUCAUUGAUGACACAAACCGGUCUAUCAUCCGUAAUGUGAAAGGGCCUGUCAGAGAGGGAGAUAUGCUAACCCUGCUUGAAUCGGAAAGAGAAGCACGAAGGCUAA